rnacentral:rRNA from 1 species
GCCGGGUGUGGAAGUGCGGCAACGCAUGAAGCUUACCGGUACUAAUAGCUCGAUCGGCUUGAUCGUUCUCAUU